CAAGAUCUAGGUGAAAUUAGCACUACAAAAAAUCUACCACAAAUUCCAUUCGCCAAUGGUCAUCACACACUAGCAUGAAGUUUUCCAACGAGCAUUCCAUUACUAUGUUGGGGGCGCCUAAAAGUUACCAACGAAAAUUUCACCUGCAAAAGCAUGUAAGAUGCAAUUACUUGCGUAGCUAAAAGAGCGUUAUUACAUUUGAAAAUUCGGUAAUGAACAUUAGGUGAUUGAACAUAUUAUCAAGAAAGGAAAAUGCUUCGCCAAUGGGGGUCGAUCAAGAAAGGAAAAUGCUUCGCCAAUGGGGGUCGAUCAAGAAAGGAAAAUGCUUCGCCAAUGGGGGUCGAUCAAGAAAGGAAAAUGCUUCGCCAAUGGGGGUCGAUCAAGAAAGGAAAAUGCUUCGCCAAUGGGGGUCGAUCAAGAAAGGAAAAUGCUUCGCCAACGGGGGGGUCUGAUCGACCCCCUGACAGAAACCCACCAAAAGGGGUGGGUCCAGUGCCAAAAAAAGGGUCCUCCCCUACCUAUUGGUGGGGUUCUGUCAGGGGGUCAGUUAGAACCCCCGUUGGUGAAGCAUGGUCCAGCGAGAAAAUAGGAAUCAAGUUCAGAUAUCCCUAUUGUUCAUAUAUAAAAAUUAAUUUGAUUUACAUUUAAGUAGACUUGUUGAGGAUAUUAACUAGGAAAAAGUGAACUUAAUCAAUCUCAAAAGCAUUGUUUUCUGUGUACAGAAUAUUGUAUUAAAGAAUGGAACCAGAAUACUCAUAUGGAGUAUAUUGUCAAAAAAAAUAUUCACUCACUCCCAUUGUGUGUAUUCUGUAAAAACCCUGUAAAAAACUUCCGUACGACAAGUGGAGUUCACCUCAAAAAGCUUGAGGCGUGUGCUUCAAUAGGGUACUUUGGAAGAAUAAUGUUAUUUUUACAUAAUGGAGUUACCUAAUGAUUUAUAUGCAGAUGUGUUUGUUAAACUAGAGAGUGGAGAAUUUUAUUUAUUUAUUUAUUUUUAUUUUUUUGGGUCGGAGAAAUUCUGAUUCAAUUAUAUCUCACCACAUCAUGUGUAUGUAAAUUAUUAUGUAUAUAGCACAAUCGAACAUGAAAACCUACAUUACGAGAUAUUUUGUGUAAAGAUAUUGAGUUACUUAUUUCUUUUCUCUUAAGUGGAAGCGAAAAUCUUGGGCCAAAAGGGGAACAGCCUAAAGAAAUUGUUCUCGUACAUACAUCGGAUGCACCAAAACUUAUCCUCAUCUCUUUCUGGGUAGAUUCUAGGAUCUUAUCCAUUUGAAUCUGUCUGCUUUGUUAGAUAUUUUGACAUCUACUGGAUUUUAAGUAGUAACAAAACGUUACGUUUCUUUGAUAAAGUUUUAAAUAAAAGCUUUAUUCUCAAUCUCAUAUAUUAGAUUAGAUUUUUUUUUUUUUUUUUGUCCUUUUAAUAUAUGCCACUUUCCUUAUUGAAAGUAUGUUUGAUUUCUUAAUUUUUUUAUAUAGUCAUAUUUGAUGUGCAAUGUUAUCAAUAAAUAUGACAUAUUCCUAUUUAAACAAUUAUUUACUGUACGAGUAAAUUAGAACAAAAAAUUAAUAAAAAAAAUUAUAUUUUCAACCUUAUUAAUUUCAUUUUCUUAAUAUUUAUGAAAAUGAAAACAAAUAUAUUUUUAUAGAAAGGAGACAAUAAUUGAUAAAAUGUACAGUUAAAAUUAAUUAUGGACUCUAAUUUCAACUUUUUAAGCCUUUUCAAAUAAGCACUUGAUUAGAAAAAAAAUUGCACUGAAUAAAACACGUGACUUGUAAAUAAUAACUUAUUGAACUUACAUGUAGUAUACGUGUCUUAUAUCUAUUGAGCACUUGUUUUGCUGCUUUCCUAUUCUGCACCAUGAAAUUCUUGUCAAUGUCAAUCCUGCAUUAAUGAGGAUCCGAUAAAUAACUUUGCAAGUGUAUUUGGCGUACAAAAAAG
rnacentral:lncRNA from 1 species